rnacentral:rRNA from 1 species
ACCCGCUGAACUUAAGCAUAUCAAUAAGCGGAGGAAAAGAAACCAACAGGGAUUGCCCUAGUAACGGCGAGUGAAGCGGCAACAGCUCAAAUUUGAAAUCUGGCUCUCGGGCCCGAGUUGUAAUUUGUAGAGGAUACUUUUGAUGCGGUGCCUUCCGAGUUCCCUGGAACGGGACGCCAUAGAGGGUGAGAGCCCCGUCUGGUUGGAUGCCAAAUCUCUGUAAAGUUCCUUCAACGAGUCGAGUAGUUUGGGAAUGCUGCUCUAAAUGGGAGGUAUAUGUCUUCUAAAGCUAAAUACCGGCCAGAGACCGAUAGCGCACAAGUAGAGUGAUCGAAAGAUGAAAAGCACUUUGAAAAGAGAGUUAAAAAGUACGUGAAAUUGUUGAAAGGGAAGCGUUUAUGACCAGACUUGGGCUUGGUUAAUCAUCUGGGGUUCUCCCCAGUGCACUUUUCCAGUCCAGGCCAGCAUCAGUUUUCCCCGGGGGAUAAAGGCGGCGGGAAUGUGGCUCUCUUCGGGGAGUGUUAUAGCCCACCGUGUAAUACCCUGGGGGGGACUGAGGUUCGCGCAUCUGCAAGGAUGCUGGCGUAAUGGUCAUCAACGACCCGUCUUGAAACACGGACCAAGGAGUCGUCUUCGUAUGCGAGUGUUCGGGUGUCAAACCCCUACGCGUAAUGAAAGUGAACGCAGGUGAGAGCUUCGGCGCAUCAUCGACCGAUCCUGAUGUUCUCGGAUGGAUUUGAGUAAGAGCAUACGGGGCCGGACCCGAAAGAAGGUGAACUAUGCCUGUAUAGGGUGAAGCCAGAGGAAACUCUGGUGGAGGCUCGCAGCGGUUCUGACGUGCAAAUCGAUCGUCAAAUAUGGGCAUGGGGGCGAAAGACUAAUCGAACCUUCUAGUAGCUGGUUUCCGCCGAAGUUUCCCUCAGGAUAGCAGUGUUGAACUCAGUUUUAUGAGGUAAAGCGAAUGAUUAGGGACUCGGGGGCGCUAUUUAGCCUUCAUCCAUUCUCAAACUUUAAAUAUGUAAGAAGCUCUUGUUGCUUAAUUGAACGUGAGCAUUCGAAUGUAUCAACACUAGUGGGCCAUUUUUGGUAAGCAGAACUGGCGAUGCGGGAUGAACCGAACGCGAGGUUAAGGUGCCAGAGUAGACGCUCAUCAGACACCACAAAAGGUGUUAGUACAUCUUGACAGCAGGACGGUGGCCAUGGAAGUCGGAAUCCGCUAAGGACUGUGUAACAACUCACCUGCCGAAUGUACUAGCCCUGAAAAUGGAUGGCGCUCAAGCGUCUCACCCAUACCUCGCCCUCAGGGUAGAAACGAUGCCCUGAGGAGUAGGCGGACGUGGAGGUCAGUGACGAAGCCUAGGGCGUGAGCCCGGGUUGAACGGCCUCUAGUGCAGAUCUUGGUGGUAGUA